UCAGCAAGUACCGUAAACAGAAGCAGCCACCCCGUGGACAUGUGCCAUUUUGAACAUUUCCAGGGGGGUGACUGCUUCUGUUUACGGUACUUGCUGA